UACGAGGGGGGCGAGCGUUGUUCGGAAUUAUUGGGCGUAAAGCGCACGUAGGCGGUUUGUUAAGUCGGAUGUGAAAUCCCUCGGCUCAACUGAGGAAGUGCAUCCGAAACUGGCAGGCUUGAGUACUAAAGAGGGUCGCGGAAUUCCCGGUGUAGAGGUGAAAUUCGUAGAUAUCGGGAGGAACACCGGUGGCGAAGGCGGCGACCUGGGUAGAUACUGACGCUGAGGUGCGAAAGCGUGGGGAGCAAACAGG
rnacentral:rRNA from 1 species